rnacentral:tRNA from 1 species
GCCGGGGUGGCCGAGUUGGCCGAAGGCGGCGGAUAAGCAAUCCGCUUCCCCCUGCGGGUCCGUGGGUUCGAAUCCCACCCCCGGCGCCA